rnacentral:misc_RNA from 1 species
CUGUUACUUUAGCUGAUGGUUCUAUUUCACGUGUCAUGAGUUUUGGUACUGCAAACCCAACAUCAUCUAUUUCUUUGUCAUUUGUUUUAUGUCUACCAAAAUUUUCUUUUAAUUUUCUUUCAGUUAGUAAACUUACUCGUGCCUUACAUUGUUCAGUUUCUUUCUUUCCUAAUUAUUGUUUGUUCCAGGAUCUUAUGACGAAACAGAUUAUUGGUAGAGGAUAUGAUUUUGGUAGUCUCUACAUCCUGGAUAAACAUUUACCGCGGUCUCUUACUUGCUCUAGCUCCUUAACUCCUCUCGAAAUUCAUUGUCGUUUAGGCUAUCCUUCCCUGGCUACCUUGAAAAAGUUGUGUCCUCAAUUCCAAUCUUUAUCAGUCUUAGAGUAUGAGCCAUGUCAGUUUGCUAAGCACCAUAGUUUACCUUCUACAUCUAGAGUCAAUAAACGGACUUCGUCCCAAUUUGAGUUAAUUUAUUCUGAUGUUUGGGAUCCUUAUU